rnacentral:rRNA from 1 species
UACGUAGGGGGCAAGCGUUGUCCGGAUUUAUUGGGCGUAAAGAGCGUGUAGGCGGCUUGGUAGGUCUUGCGUCAAAACCUGAGGCUCAACCUCAGUUCGCGUGGGAAACCAUCUAGCUAGAGUCCGGAAGAGGAGAACGGAAUUCCCAGUGUAGCGGUGAAAUGCGUAGAUAUCUGGAGGAACACCGGUGGCGAAGGCAGCUCGCUGGGACGGUACUGACGCUGAGGCGCGAAAGCGUGGGGAGCGAACAGG